CCGAUUUAACUGAUAUUUUGCAUGAAUAAUCCUUAAAAAAAUAACAUAAAAGUUGAAUAGGUUCGAGUAUUGGUUUUAGAACCUAUAAAUAGAAUGUCCUUAAUUUAAGGAAAAUAACGACAUCCUUAUACUCUCCAAUUAUAAACUCAUAUUCUAAGUUUUUAAAUCCUAAUUGAUAUGGUAAUAUCUCAUUUGCUUAUAUAUGAACUCACGAUAAGUUUUAUUUAUUUACAAUCAAUAAGCAACCGUCAUGUAUCACGGCCGUUAGUAUUAAAAAGUUGAAAUCGUAGUUGGUACUCGUAGUUACUCUUUAGUACAGAUCAUGAACGUGAUUCCCUCCCCAUUAAAAUGAAAAGAAAAGGGUCUAAAUAUAAAGUUGCAAGUAGCUAGCUAGCAAAGUGUGUUUGUUUGUUCCAGACUGAAGAAGCCCAACUUGCGCCCUUCAACUGUCAAUACUCAAAGGGCCAACAGGGCGGGAAAGAGGAGGCCAGGGACUUGAACAAGAUGAAGAAACAGAGGACGUGCUGGAAAUUGACCACUCUGCCCUUCCAUUGUCUUCGCUUUUCUGCUUGUUUUCGUCAUGUGAGGUUGCGAGAGAUCUAAAACCCCCAUUUAAUUCAACUCCUCAAAGACCAGUCAAGAAAUCUAAAGAUAAAAAUUAAUUAAUACCAACCAAAAAAAAAAAAAACUUAUCAUAUAUUAAUUGCAAUGAAUAUGGAUCCGUUCUAAGCUGCGCAGCUCCCGCUUGCUUUCUGCCUCUUUGAUCUCUUCUCUCCUUCCCGCCACCGCGGCCACCGACGUCCAAAGUCCACCCACCAACACCAAGCCUCACGUACACAACACAUUUCCAUCACUAAAAAAAAACUCAAACAAAGAAAAUAGCAUUCAUUCAUUGGUCGGUUUUUGCAACAUCAAGAAACUAAAUCUAAUUAAU
rnacentral:lncRNA from 1 species